GCGGUUACUCAGUUGGUAGAGUGCUUGCCUCACAUGCUUAAGGCCCUGGGUUCAAUCCCCAGCACCACA
rnacentral:tRNA from 1 species